rnacentral:rRNA from 1 species
CAGUAGCCACGGUAAUACGAAGGGGGCUAGCGUUGCUCGGAAUCACUGGGCGUAAAGGGUGCGUAGGCGGGUCUUUAAGUCAGGGGUGAAAUCCUGGAGCUCAACUCCAGAACUGCCUUUGAUACUGAAGAUCUUGAGUUCGGGAGAGGUGAGUGGAACUGCGAGUGUAGAGGUGAAAUUCGUAGAUAUUCGCAAGAACACCAGUGGCGAAGGCGGCUCACUGGCCCGAUACUGACGCUGAGGCACGAAAGCGUGGGGAGCAAACAGGAUUAGAUACCCCUGUAGUCCCUGUCUCUUAUAC